GUCGUAGGGGGCCAGCGUUGUUCGGAAUUACUGGGUGUAAAGGGUUCGUAGGCGGUGCGGCAAGUUGGGAGUGAAAUCUCUGGGCUCAACCCAGAGGCUGCUUCCAAAACUGCUGUGCUUGAGUGUGGGAGAGGCGCGUGGAAUUGCAGGUGUAGCGGUGAAAUGCGUGGAUAUCGGGAGGAACACCUGUGGCGAAAGCGGCGCACUGGACCAUAACUGACGCUGAGGCGCGAAAGCUAGGGGAGCAAACAGG
rnacentral:rRNA from 1 species